GUCCGUAUUAGAUUUGCGACCUGAUGGGGCUUCCAGGCUCUUUUAAGCUCCCCGUGAGGGAGCUGCUUUGUAAGAAGCCAGGGUUUCACCUUCCCCUGCUGAGAGGCCUGCAGCCCGGGUGCAGUGGGAGGACUGUGUGAAGAGCACUCGAUCUGUGGCCAGGCAGUGUGUUUAACUUCUCCCUGGUGAAGAUAUGCCAUCGACUUGAGGGGGGACUGAGCAGAGCGGGGACGUGACAUGCCUUUCUGGGAGGUGUACAUAAAGGUAACUAAAGACUGUCUCAGACACACAAGAGAUGGGAGAAUUGGACACCCGCGGAGCAGCGCUGAAGAGGAGGAGGGUGUUCAUGAAGGCUCAAGGAAAAGACGGCAGUUGGAGACCAACAUGUCCAGAAAGGAACUCGAACAACUGUCGUCUGCAAAUGCGAGUUGCCCAACCAGACCGUCCCCUCAUUUCAAUCUUAUUCAAAUAAAUAGUUAGAUACAGAUAAAAACAGCGGGCUUGGUGGCAAAAGAUGUGUCACAGGGGCGCAGUGACGGGGAGCGGAAAGCGCAGGAGGUUUUGAGCCUCUGACACUGCGUGUGAAAUAGAAUAACGCUAUUUGAAGGUACACUGUGUUGGGAUAAAGGCUAAAGAUGGAGGCAGCAACGCCCAAGGCAAUUAGUGAAAUAAGUGAUUAAGUUAAUUAAUACUUAAAAAUGGUGCCUAGGAAGCCAAAAGUGGAUAUAAAAUGGGAACAUGAGAAUACAUUUAAUUCAAACUAAAAGAGAAAAAAUAGAGUAAGCAGCAGAUGGGACAAAUAAAAGACAGUUUUAGUUAAAAUGGGAUGUCAGAUUUAAAAUAAAACAUUUCAAAAAUAUGUGAAAUAUUAAUGGCCCGAAUGAUAAAAUUAAAGGCUGAGAUUUUGCCAGAUUGGAUGAAGAAAAUAGAACCAACUAGAUGCUGUCUAAUGAAGCCCAUGUGGAAACAGAGACACAAGGGAAUAAGAGUAAGGAGAAAAGCAUGUGAAACUACAAUUGCAAAUAACUUUAAAUGGGCUGUAUUAACAUUAGACUAAGUUGACUUCGAAUAAGUAUUACCAGGGAAAAAGAGGGGCAUUACAUAAUGACUAAGGGGUUAAUUCAUCAGGGGUUAUUGGAGUUCCCUGGUGGCCUAGUGGGUUAAGGCCCUGACAUUGUCCCUGCUCUGGAUCAAUGCUGCUCCAUCCCUGGUCUGGAAAUUCCACUUGUCGUGGGUGUGGCCAAAAAAAUAGAGUUAUAGAAUGACUUCAGUAAUAGAAAAAAGUAUAUGAAAGUGUGAGGGAACACAUGUUGGGGAUGGGAGGCACACAUUGGUAUUUUUAAGAUUUCCAGGUGAUUUCAGUAAAAAAGGGCACUCAAUAAAAAAGGAUACUUGCUUAUCUCUCAAAAUCUUGCACAUGUGGGGUAAGCUACGUACUAGAGCACUGUCAACUUUACAGCCAUGGCACCAACAAUACCAACAGGAACAGCUUAAAAUCACAUCAUAUAGGGUGUUAAGACUCAAGUCAGCUCUUUUCUAUAAAGUAUCACUAACUUCCAUGACAGUGCUUUUUAAUUGAAUGGUGUUUCACCAACAGGAAUCUGUACAUUUUAAAAAUUAACAAAAAGAGACAUCCUGAUUAAGCUAACAUAUUUAAUCAAAGGAUGCUGUUGAAGAUGCAGGUCAAUCUAUAAUGGCAACUGCAGAAGAAUGAUUCUAGGUCUUUGUAGAAGAAAUAGUCAUGCCAUUUUUUUUCCUGAGAAAUUGAUUUAUCUUUUGUCCUACAUCCCAAGAAACUCAGAACCACAUAAAUAAGUGCUCAGGAUCUGAGCAUUUAUUUUGUAGAAAACAUUGUCUCUGCAUCAUCUUGUUUUUCUUCCAUAAUGUUUGCCUUUCACAGUUGCCUCGUCUAUGUUCGUUGUGUUGUGUUACCUUGGUUUGGAGAAUAUGGCAGUGGCUACAUAGGUGAGUAGAUAGAUAUAUAGAUAGAUGAUAGGUGAGUAGAUAGAUGACAGACAUAUAGAAAGAUAGAUAGAUAUAGGUAAUAGAUAGACAGCUCAUAGCUAGAUAGAUAGGUAUGUGUGUAUGUGAGUGAAGAAGAGAGAGAGGGAAGGAGGGUCCCAAAUUUACCCAAAUGGAAACUGUGUCAAGCUUAUUAACUGACAAAUUGUAUUUUUGUGUUAUUAAUCUGAAGCCCACAGUCUGUCUGAUGGUGGUGUUGUCUCUUCUUUUAACGACACCCGAUGAUCUCAUUUAUCUCUGAGAUGGGAGAGAGUCCUGUGAUGGGAAGCUCCUGCCUCUGCCAGGCUGAUGAAGCAGGUUCUCCUGCUUCCUGUGCUGAGAACUGGACCAGACAAAAUGAAUCUGCUUCAGGAGCAGAGACGGAGAAAUCCCACAUUAAUUGGCUUCUCAGUCCUUGUAGUGAGAUGUCCCUGACAUAUAUUGCAAUGAGAUUACUCGUACCUUAGAUUUUUACAGUCUUCACUAAAAUCAGUCUUAAUGAGGAAGCUUUCAUUGUGUAAGCCCAUCCCUUUAUAGGGGUUUUUGAUGUAUAAAAAGGGGAGAGGACGUUUCUGGAAGAAGCCUAUAAAACCAAGAGAGGAACAGCACUCUACGUUAAGAUGAAAUAAAUUGCUGGCAGCUGUUGUCUUGACGAUGACUGAAAAAGGACUUUGUUCAGAGCAAUCCCAGGACAUGUUUUAGAUAAAGAAGAGGAGAGGAGAGGAUGGAUCCAGGAAAGAGACCACAGGGGAAGCAUCUUGAAACCAGGAAGUGAACUGCUGCCCGGGCAGGAAGGGGUGCGGACGCCCUGCAGCUGUGACCCCAGGACAAAGCAGGGCUGUGCU
rnacentral:lncRNA from 1 species